rnacentral:rRNA from 1 species
ACGCUGGCGGCAGGCCUAACACAUGCAAGUCGAGCGGUAGAGAGAAGCUUGCUUCUCUUGAGAGCGGCGGACGGGUGAGUAAUGCCUAGGAAUCUGCCUGGUAGUGGGGGAUAACGUUCGGAAACGGACGCUAAUACCGCAUACGUCCUACGGGAGAAAGCAGGGGACCUUCGGGCCUUGCGCUAUCAGAUGAGCCUAGGUCGGAUUAGCUAGUUGGUGAGGUAAUGGCUCACCAAGGCGACGAUCCGUAACUGGUCUGAGAGGAUGAUCAGUCACACUGGAACUGAGACACGGUCCAGACUCCUACGGGAGGCAGCAGUGGGGAAUAUUGGACAAUGGGCGAAAGCCUGAUCCAGCCAUGCCGCGUGUGUGAAGAAGGUCAUCGGAUUGUAAAGCACUUUAAGUUGGGAGGAAGGGCAGUAAAUUAAUACUUUGCUGUUUUGACGUUACCGACAGAAUAAGCACCGGCUAACUCUGUGCCAGCAGCCGCGGUAAUACAGAGGGUGCAAGCGUUAAUCGGAAUUACUGGGCGUAGAGCGCGCGUAGGUGGUUUGUUAAGUUGGAUGUGAAAUCCCCGGGCUCAACCUGGGAACUGCAUUCAAAACUGACUGACUAGAGUAUGGUAGAGGGUGGUGGAAUUUCCUGUGUAGCGGUGAAAUGCGUAGAUAUAGGAAGGAACACCAGUGGCGAAGGCGACCACCUGGACUAAUACUGACACUGAGGUGCGAAAGCGUGGGGAGCAAAC